rnacentral:lncRNA from 1 species
AAGAGCUACCAAAAUAGAAAAUGAAAUCAUUUGAGUAAAACACUUUCUAUGUGAUUAGAGACCUUUGUUUCAGAUUAGCUCACAUCCUAUUAAAACUUUGGAGAGGGAACUAUUUUAGAAGCCAGGUGGCAUUAUGCAGCCUAUGUUUGCUUAUCUUUUCAUUUCCUCUCUUUAGUGUCUAAAACUAUUUGCAUAAUAACAGAUUCUUUGUUUUCCUGGAGUUCAGGUUUCAGUCUUGGGCCCCACAUGAAUUCAGAAUCCUAGAUUGUGAUAUCAAACUUGUUUGUGUGGAAAUGCCUUGAUGACCCUGAGCAGACUUGGACCUGGUCUGGCUCAGAGACUGUUUCCAUGCUAAAGUUGUUGGUGAUUCAUCUUGCUUUUCAUUUUCCUAAUGGUAGCUGAGGACUUGGAUCUCCAUGGCACUGUCUUUCUGAUGGGUUUUUGGAAUAAAGAGGAAAUGGAUGUAAAAAUAUUUAAGACCAAAGACCUUAAAAAGCACCUCAUAAGGUAGGCUGAAAACAGGCUGGUGUAGGUAGCAGUUUUGGGGUUAGGGUGGGGAGUAGAAGCUAGUUUCUACUUUUUACCAAAUGAUCCCCACUAUUUAUAAAUCAUUUAUAAAUCAUUUAGUUUUUGUUGUGGGAAGUGACACUGCAAGCAAAUAGCAAUAAUGGAUAGAGCCCAGCUUUGAAGACAGACAUAGACUUUGCCCCAUUUACCUGGGUGACUUUAAGGAAGUAUCUUAUUCUCACUUAGCUGCAGCUUCCUCAUUGGUAAAAUAGGUUAUUGUGAAGAUUAGGCACAGCAAUGUGUCUAAGGCAUAUGUACCAGAGAGUCAUUACAUCUUGGCUGCUUUGAUUAGAUUUGACCUGCAGGCUUAGAGAAAUCAUGAUGAACAUCAGUCUCUUGGCCACCAGCUAGCUUAGUAUCUAUCCAUCCACUUAGAACAGACUUGUAACUUGUUAAGAGUUCUGCGUCUCAUAAAAUAAAAUGCAUUUGGAGUACUUCCCCCUGCCUCUACUUCCCAGACCAUGCACAUUGCCUUUCCUUCCUCCCACAAGCUGGACUUAGAAUCUCUCUAUGGGUCUCCUUUCUCUCCUCCUUGAGUGUGAUCUCUUUUCUUAUCCUUUCCAGAGUAUUGUAUCUGUCCCACCAUCCCCCUCAUUUCUAUCUUUUCCCUUCUCUUCACUUUUCCAGAAUUCUGGCCCUUGCUAAUAGUCCUACUCCACUUGUGGGUACAGCUAUACACAGGGGAAGUGGAAAAGCACAUUAUUCUCACACGAAACCACCGUGUACAGUUCUUGAAAGCACUUAUCUUUUGCUUUGAUCUAUAGCAUAUCAAAUGAUGGCUUGGCUUUACUAAAAUCAAAACAGAUUUCUUUUUCCCAGUUAUUUCAUGACAGGUGACACAAAAUGUUUCCUUGGAAAAAAUAAACCUCAUUCCUAUAAAUGCA